CAUUCACGGAGAGUUUGAUCCUGGCUCAGGACGAACGCUGGCGGCGUGCUUAACACAUGCAAGUCGAACGAUGAACCACUUCGGUGGGGAUUAGUGGCGAACGGGUGAGUAACACGUGGGCAAUCUGCCCUGCACUCUGGGACAAGCCCUGGAAACGGGGUCUAAUACCGGAUACAACCACUGACCGCAUGGUCGGGUGGUGGAAAGCUCCGGCGGUGCAGGAUGAGCCCGCGGCCUAUCAGCUUGUUGGUGAGGUAACGGCUCACCAAGGCGACGACGGGUAGCCGGCCUGAGAGGGCGACCGGCCACACUGGGACUGAGACACGGCCCAGACUCCUACGGGAGGCAGCAGUGGGGAAUAUUGCACAAUGGGCGAAAGCCUGAUGCAGCGACGCCGCGUGAGGGAUGACGGCCUUCGGGUUGUAAACCUCUUUCAGCAGGGAAGAAGCGAGAGUGACGGUAC
rnacentral:rRNA from 1 species